UACGUAGGUGGCAAGCGUUACUCGGAAUCACUAGGCGUAAAGCGCAGGUAGGUGGCUAGAUAAGUUUCUUGUGAAAGCUCCUGGCUUAACUGGGAGAGGUCAAGGAAUACUGUCUGGCUUGAGUAUGGUAGGGGUAACUGGAAUUCCCGGUGUAGCGGUGAAAUGCGUAGAUAUCGGGAGGAAUACCUAUGGCGAAGGCAGGUUACUGGGCCAUUACUGACACUGAGCUGCGAAAGCUAGGGGAGCAAACAGG
rnacentral:rRNA from 1 species